GCGCGAAAACUUUGCAAUGCACGAAAGUGCGACAAGGGGACUCCAAGUGUGCAUAUACCAUAUGCACUUUUUUCAGAGCUCAAAAACGCUCUGGGAAUAAGGGGUGGGCAAGACUAGUGCCAGCCGCCGCGGUAAAACUAGCAUCUCGAGUGGCAGUCACCAUUACUGGGCUUAGAGCGUCCGUAGCUCGCUCGGAAAGUCCCUGGUGAAAUCCUGCGGCUUAACCGUAGGGCUUGCCGGGGAAACUAACGGGCUUGAGGGCGGGAGAGGUCGGGGGUACUUCGUGGGGUAGGGGUGAAAUCCUUUAAUCCUAGAAGGACCAACAGUGGCGAAGGCGCCCGACAUGAACGCGCCUGACAGUGAGGGACGAGAGCCAGGGUCGCGAAACGGAUUAGAUACCCGUGUAGUCCUGGCCGUAAACGAUGCUGACUAGGUGGGGUGUGAUCUUAGUGAUCAUGCUAUGCCGAAGGGAAACCGUUAAGUCAGCCGCCUGGGGGAGUACGACCGCAAGGUUGAAACUUAAAGGAAUUGGCGGGGG
rnacentral:rRNA from 1 species